rnacentral:rRNA from 1 species
UACGAAGGGGGCUAGCGUUGCUCGGAAUCACUGGGCGUAAAGGGUGCGUAGGCGGGUCUUUAAGUCAGGGGUGAAAUCCUGGAGCUCAACUCCAGAACUGCCUUUGAUACUGAAGAUCUUGAGUUCGGGAGAGGUGAGUGGAACUGCGAGUGUAGAGGUGAAAUUCGUAGAUAUCCGCAAGAACACCAGUGGCGAAGGCGGCUCACUGGCCCGAUACUGACGCUGAGACGCGAAAGCGUGGGGAGCGAACAGG